UAUGGUGUAUGUAUACAUAUAUAUAGGGGGAUUCAGCAUUCUAUUCAUUAUAUUGAGUGACAGCCUUUUUGGAUGAUAAAUGGCAUAAUUGUUGAAUACUGAAAUAUACAUAGUUUGGGUGACACAAGAUGUGUACAAUGAUGCCAUAAGGUAGGUGAAAAGUGAAGUGAAUCCCCCACAGAUAUUAAACAGAUCACAACAGUGUAGUUAUCACUGAUGCAAAUUAAAGAAAUGGUUCAAAUUGCAUAGCUACAGUUGCCCACACUAGGUUCAGGGUCCCUGUGUGAAUAUUCCCCAGUGUAGGCCUUUGCUGCAAAUUGAGGAACGGGUCCCCUUCCCAUCAACCUCUGAUCAACACAUGUACUAUGAGGGGAUCUGCGUGCCAUUGUUUUGGAUAUGUUCUUGUAGAAUUCCAAGUAUGUGUAAUCAAACAUUUUAUGAUUUUUGUCAAUACAAAGGACAUUGUCAUCUGAUAUACUGCAUAGAAUGCUUAACAACUUUUUAUACUUGAAUAAUUAUAUACUGUACAUAUGAACAUGUGAAUACAUGUUGAACAUUGCAGCUGUAUGUAAUCAGAUGAGAAUGUGUGUGUGUGUGUUUAUGGAUAAAUAAUUUUCACUGAACAUUAAAAUAUUUACUGAUAGUUAUUCCAGAGGAUUUUCUAUUUUUUAGUUAACAAGCAUUAAGACAUUCCAAAUUGAUUGCAUCCAUUAUACUGAUAUAGGAAUUUUACAAUAUGCAACUUUAGUUACUUUAAUAUUUGUGACAUGGAAAUUAAAUGCCGCAGCAUUUAGAUAUGAAAAUGUGAAUUAAUUUUCUGUCUGCCAGUGACAGAACCACUUUUCCCAGUGAAAGUUACUAAGGAGCAGAAACAUGCCUUUGCACAUUUGUUAUUUAAAUGUCUGAGGGUACUUCAUUUUAUAUAAUUACUGCAAAGAGUAAGGUUUACUAAUUGCAGUUGGAAUCAUUUAAAUGUUGAUUGGCUUAUUAGGACUACAAGGCCAACAACUCUAUAUUUCUGUGGAAUUGCUCAUGAUCCUAAGUUGAUAAAAGUUUGGUGGGAAACUAAAGGAUUUUAUAUUUUACAUGGUUAUUUGUUUUCUUUGAAAAUUAAAUUAUGCUUUCAAUUCUAACAAAUACACACAAACACAAAACACACGCACAAACAAAAACAAAAACACAAAAAAUCAAUUUCAUGCAGAACACACACCCAAACAAAAUGUGCAAAACUUGUACAUACAUUCUUACACAAACAGAUUUGUGUAUAUGUAGAUAGAGAAAUGAAUAACUAAAUAAGCCGUGUGUAAUCCUGUGUGCAUGUAGUUGUAUACACAGAUUCACAAAUGGGACAUUGUGUGUUUACUUCUAGCGUACGUGGCAGGAAUUGGGUAAUAGGGAAAAAUUCCAGGCAAUUUACUACAUUGAUUUCAGUUUAGAAAAACAAUCCAACUCACUUCUUCCUUGAAUGGCUUUAAGAUUUUUUCUUGUAUUUAGGUGUGGAAAAAAAACUUGUAAAGAGAGAUGGAAUGACCUCAUAACACUAGAUUUAAUUGAUGUGUUUUGUUUAAAUGGCUAGAAUUAACCAGAAGGCAUCAUUUACAUGUCUUGGUAUAUGAAGUUGUUCCAUCUCAUUUAUAUUUUUUUUUUCUAAAUUUGUAUUUAGGUAUUUAGUUCAAAUUCGUAUUUUUUCAUUUUGUAUCUUUUAUGUUCAGGUUUCUAUAGGGUUUCUCUUGGCUUCUUACGUCCUUAUUAGUUAUUACUGUUGAAUAUGUUUUGAUAAUGGUUUAUUAAUAUUGGUACCCAAUCGUGCUAAUUAUAGUAGUCGAGGCGGAGGCAGACGGCGACGGUAUGAAGGAGAAGAUUAUGGCCCGAGAGUGAAGCGCUUGAGAGGGCCACCCAACUUCAGGGGAAGAACAGAGAAGUCAGCUUCCUACACCCGUGAGAGAGUAAGAGAGAGAUCACCAGUCUACCGCAGUGUUCCUCGAAGAGAGAGUGCCACAUACAACGGCACAAGUAGCCACAAAUUGGAAUCCUCUUUUCAGACAUACCAGGACUUCAUGAGAGAGAUGCGGGAUUUCCACUCCCGUGCACCGAGUAACCUACCCCCAAUGGCCUUCCCACCACCCCCUCCAUUUGAUCCUAUUGGACCCCCAAGAUACUAUGAUGGACCUCCGCUACCUGAGUAUCCAUC